CAGUAGCCGCGGUAAUACGUAGGUGGCGAGCGUUGUCCGGAAUCAUUGGGCGUAAAGGGAGCGCAGGCGGGCAUGUAAGUCUUUCUUAAAAGUGCGGGGCUCAACCCCGUGACGGGAAAGAAACUAUGUGUCUUGAGUACAGGAGAGGAAAGCGGAAUUCCCAGUGUAGCGGUGAAAUGCGUAGAUAUUGGGAGGAACACCAGUGGCGAAGGCGGCUUUCUGGACUGCAACUGACGCUGAGGCUCGAAAGCCAGGGGAGCGAACGGGAUUAGAUACCCCCGUAGUCCCUGUCUCUUAUACA
rnacentral:rRNA from 1 species